AUUGAACGCUGGCGGAAUGCUUUACACAUGCAAGUCGAACGGCAGCACGGGGGCAACCCUGGUGGCGAGUGGCGAACGGGUGGGUAAUACAUCGGAACGUGCCCAGUCGUGGGGGAUAACGUAGCGAAAGCUACGCUAAUACCGCAUACGAUCUACGGAUGAAAGCGGGGGAUCGCAAGACCUCGCGCGAUUGGAGCGGCCGAUGGCAGAUUAGGUAGUUGGUGGGGGUAAAGGCUCACCAAGCCGACGAUCUGUAGCUGGUCUGAGAGGACGACCAGCCACACUGGGACUGAGACACGGCCCAGACUCCUACGGGAGGCAGCAGUGGGGAAUUUUGGACAAUGGGGGCAACCCUGAUCCAGCCAUGCCGCGUGAGUGAAGAAGGCCUUCGGGUU
rnacentral:rRNA from 1 species